rnacentral:rRNA from 1 species
GACGAACGCUGGCGGCGUGCUUAACACAUGCAAGUCGAACGGAAAGGCCCUGCUUUUGUGGGGUGCUCGAGUGGCGAACGGGUGAGUAACACGUGAGUAACCUGCCCUUGACUUUGGGAUAACUUCAGGAAACUGGGGCUAAUACCGGAUAGGAGCUCCUGCUGCAUGGUGGGGGUUGGAAAGUUUCGGCGGUUGGGGAUGGACGCGCGGCUUAUCAGCUUGUUGGUGGGGGAGUGGCUUACCAAGCCUUUGACGGGUAGCCGGCCUGAGAGGGUGACCGGCCACAUUGGGACUGAGAUACGGCCCAGACUCCUACGGGAGGCAGCAGUGGGGAAUAUGGCACAAUGGGCGGAAGCCUGAUGCAGCAACGCCGCGUGCGGGAUGACGGCCUUCGGGUUGUAAACCGCUUUCGCCUGUGACCAAGCGUGAGUGACGGUAAUGGGUAAAGAAGCACCGGCUAACUACGUG